rnacentral:rRNA from 1 species
UACGGGGGGGCAAGCGUUGUUCGGAAUUCCUGGGCGUAAAGGGCUCGUAGGUGGCCAACUAAGUCAGACGUGAAAUCCCCAGGCUUAACCUGGGAACUGCGUCUGAUACUGGAUGGCUUGAAUUCGGGAGAGGGAUGCAGAAUUCCAGGUGUAGCGGUGAAAUGCGUAGAUAUCUGGAGGAAUACCGGUGGCGAAGGCGGCAUCCUGGACCGAGAUUGACACUGAUGAGCGAAAGCUAGGGGAGCAAACGGG